CAAGUUGAACGAGAUUAGUUUAGCAAUAGACUAUGAAAGUGGCGCACGGGUGCGUAACACGUAUGCAACCUGCCCUUGACUGGAGAAUAGCCUCUCGAAAGAGAGAUUAAUGUUCCAUAACAUAUUGGAUAGGCAUCUAUUUGAUAUCAAAGCUCCGGCGGUCAAGGAUGGGCAUGCGGUUGAUUAGCUAGUUGGUGAGGUAACGGCUCACCAAGGCGACGAUCAAUAGGGGGUCUGAGAGGAUGUCCCCCCACACUGGUACUGAGACACGGACCAGACUCCUACGGGAGGCAGCAGUAGGGAAUAUUGGUCAAUGGAGGCAACUCUGAACCAGCCAUGCCGCGUGCAGGAAGACUGCCCUAUGGGUUGUAAACUGCUUUUGUACGGGAAGAAAUGUUACUACGUGUAGUAAUUUGACGGUACCGUAAGAAUAAGGAUCGGCUAACUUCGUGCCAGCAGCCGCGGUAAUACGAAGGAUCCAAGCGUUGUCCGGAUUUACUGGGUUUAAAGGGAGCGUAGGCGGUUUUAUAAGUCAGUGGUGAAAGCCUUCAGCUUAACUGAAGAAUUGCCAUUGAAACUGUAGGACUCGAGUAUGGUUGAGGUCACUGGAAUAUAACAUGUAGCGGUGAAAUGCUUAGAUAUGUUAUAGAACACCAAUUGCGAAGGCAGGUGACUAAGCCAUAACUGACGCUGAGGCUCGAAAGCGUGGGGAGCAAACAGGAUUAGAUACCCUGGUAGUCCACGCCCUAAACGUUGAAUACUCGGUCUUGGCGAUAUACAGUCAGGGCCCAAGCGAAAGCGUUAAGUAUUCCACCUGGGAAGUACGUUCGCAAGAAUGAAACUCAAAGGAAUUGACGG
rnacentral:rRNA from 1 species